rnacentral:rRNA from 1 species
UUUGGUUAAGUUAGAAAGGGCGCACGGUGGAUGCCUUGACACUAGGAGUCGAUGAAGGACGGGACUAACGCCGAUAUGCUUCGGGGAGCUGUAAGUAAGCUUUGAUCCGAAGAUUUCCGAAUGGGGAAACCCACCAUACGUAAUGGUAUGGUAUCCUUAUCUGAAUACAUAGGGUAAGGAAGACAGACCCAGGGAACUGAAACAUCUAAGUACCUGGAGGAAGAGAAAGCAAAUGCGAUUUCCUGAGUAGCGGCGAGCGAAACGGAACAUAGCCCAAACCAAGAGGCUUGCCUCUUGGGGUUGUAGGACAUUCUAUACGGAGUUACAAAGGAACGAGGUAGACGAAGCGACCUGGAAAGGUCCGUCGUAGAGGGUAACAACCCCGUAGUCGAAACUUCGUUCUCUCUUGAAUGUAUCCUGAGUACGGCGGAACACGUGAAAUUCCGUCGGAAUCUGGGAGGACCAUCUCCCAAGGCUAAAUACUCCCUAGUGAUCGAUAGUGAACCAGUACCGUGAGGGAAAGGUGAAAAGCACCCCGGAAGGGGAGUGAAAGAGAUCCUGAAACCGUGUGCCUACAAAUAGUCAGAGCCCGUUAAUGGGUGAUGGCGUGCCUUUUGUAGAAUGAACCGGCGAGUUACGAUCCCGUGCGAGGUUAAGCUGAAGAGGCGGAGCCGCAGCGAAAGCGAGUCUGAAUAGGGCGUUUAGUACGUGGUCGUAGACCCGAAACCAGGUGAUCUACCCAUGUCCAGGGUGAAGUUCAGGUAACACUGAAUGGAGGCCCGAACCCACGCACGUUGAAAAGUGCGGGGAUGAGGUGUGGGUAGCGGAGAAAUUCCAAUCGAACCUGGAGAUAGCUGGUUCUCCCCGAAAUAGCUUUAGGGCUAGCCUUAAGUGUAAGAGUCUUGGAGGUAGAGCACUGAUUGGACUAGGGGUCCUCAUCGGAUUACCGAAUUCAGUCAAACUCCGAAUGCCAAUGACUUAUCCUUAGGAGUCAGACUGCGAGUGAUAAGAUCCGUAGUCAAAAGGGAAACAGCCCAGACCGCCAGCUAAGGUCCCAAAGUGUGUAUUAAGUGGAAAAGGAUGUGGAGUUGCUUAGACAACUAGGAUGUUGGCUUAGAAGCAGCCACCAUUUAAAGAGUGCGUAAUAGCUCACUAGUCGAGUGACUCUGCGCCGAAAAUGUACCGGGGCUAAAUACACCACCGAAGCUGCGGAUUGAUACCGAGUGGUAUCAGUGGUAGGGGAGCGUUCUAAGGACAGUGAAGUCAGACCGUAAGGACUGGUGGAGUGCUUAGAAGUGAGAAUGCCGGUAUGAGUAGCGAAAGACGGGUGAGAAUCCCGUCCACCGAAUGCCUAAGGUUUCCUGAGGAAGGCUCGUCCGCUCAGGGUUAGUCAGGACCUAAGCCGAGGCCGACAGGCGUAGGCGAUGGACAACAGGUUGAUAUUCCUGUACCACCUCUUUAUCGUUUGAGCAAUGGAGGGACGCAGAAGGAUAGAAGAAGCGUGCGAUUGGUUGUGCACGUCCAAGCAGUUAGGCUGAUAAGUAGGCAAAUCCGCUUAUCGUGAAGGCUGAGCUGUGAUGGGGAAGCUCCUUAUGGAGCGAAGUCUUUGAUUCCCCGCUGCCAAGAAAAGCUUCUAGCGAGAUAAAAGGUGCCUGUACCGCAAACCGACACAGGUAGGCGAGGAGAGAAUCCUAAGGUGUGCGAGAGAACUCUGGUUAAGGAACUCGGCAAAAUGACCCCGUAACUUCGGGAGAAGGGGUGCUUUCUUAACGGAAAGCCGCAGUGAAUAGGCCCAAGCGACUGUUUAGCAAAAACACAGCUCUCUGCGAAGCCGUAAGGCGAAGUAUAGGGGGUGACACCUGCCCGGUGCUGGAAGGUUAAGGAGAGGGGUUAGCGUAAGCGAAGCUCUGAACUGAAGCCCCAGUAAACGGCGGCCGUAACUAUAACGGUCCUAAGGUAGCGAAAUUCCUUGUCGGGUAAGUUCCGACCCGCACGAAAGGUGUAACGAUUUGGGCACUGUCUCAACCAGAGACUCGGUGAAAUUAUAGUACCUGUGAAGAUGCAGGUUACCCGCGACAGGACGGAAAGACCCCGUGGAGCUUUACUGUAGCCUGAUAUUGAAUUUUGGUACAGUUUGUACAGGAUAGGCGGGAGCCUUUGAAACCGGAGCGCUAGCUUCGGUGGAGGCGCUGGUGGGAUACCGCCCUGACUGUAUUGAAAUUCUAACCUACGGGUCUUAUCGACCCGGGAGACAGUGUCAGGUGGGCAGUUUGACUGGGGCGGUCGCCUCCUAAAGUGUAACGGAGGCGCCCAAAGGUUCCCUCAGAAUGGUUGGAAAUCAUUCGUAGAGUGCAAAGGCAUAAGGGAGCUUGACUGCGAGACCUACAAGUCGAGCAGGGACGAAAGUCGGGCUUAGUGAUCCGGUGGUUCCGCAUGGAAGGGCCAUCGCUCAACGGAUAAAAGCUACCCCGGGGAUAACAGGCUUAUCUCCCCCAAGAGUCCACAUCGACGGGGAGGUUUGGCACCUCGAUGUCGGCUCAUCGCAUCCUGGGGCUGUAGUCGGUCCCAAGGGUUGGGCUGUUCGCCCAUUAAAGCGGUACGCGAGCUGGGUUCAGAACGUCGUGAGACAGUUCGGUCCCUAUCCGUCGUGGGCGUAGGAAAUUUGAGAGGAGCUGUCCUUAGUACGAGAGGACCGGGAUGGACGCACCGCUGGUGUACCAGUUGUUCUGCCAAGGGCAUAGCUGGGUAGCUAUGUGCGGAAGGGAUAAGUGCUGAAAGCAUCUAAGCAUGAAGCCCCCCUCAAGAUGAGAUUUCCCAUAGCGUAAGCUAGUAAGAUCCCUGAAAGAUGAUCAGGUUGAUAGGUUCGAGGUGGAAGCAUGGUGACAUGUGGAGCUGACGAAUACUAAUAGAUCGAGGACUUAACCAUAUAA